rnacentral:rRNA from 1 species
ACGCUAGCGGCAGGCCUAACACAUGCAAGUCGAGGGGUAGGGUAGCAAUACCUGAGACCGGCGCACGGGUGCGUAACGCGUAUGCAAUCUACCUUUUACAGAGGGAUAGCCCAGAGAAAUUUGGAUUAAUACCUCAUAGUAUAUAUCAUUCGCAUGUUUGAUAUAUUAAAGUUCCAACGGUAAAAGAUGAGCAUGCGUCCUAUUAGCUAGUUGGUGUGGUAACGGCACACCAAGGCAACGAUAGGUAGGGGUCCUGAGAGGGAGAUCCCCCACACUGGUACUGAGACACGGACCAGACUCCUACGGGAGGCAGCAGUGAGGAAUAUUGGACAAUGGGCGCAAGCCUGAUCCAGCCAUGCCGCGUGCAGGAAGACGCAUCUAUGGUGUGUAAACUGCUUUUGUACGGGAAGAAACACUCCUACGUGUAGGAGCUUGACGGUACCGUAAGAAUAAGCAUCGGCUAACUCCGUGCCAGCAGCCGCGGUAAUACGGAGGAUGCAAGCGUUAUCCGGACUGAUUGGGUGUAAAGCAUCUGUAGGCGGUUUUGGAAGUCUACGGUUAAAUCCCAGAGCUUAACUUUGGUUCAGCCGUAGAGUACUUCAAAGCUUGAGUAUGGUAGGGGUAGAGGGAACUUCUCGUGGAGCGGUGAAAUGCACAGAGAUGAGAAGGAACACCAGUGGCGAAAGCGCUCUACUGGGCCAUGACUGACGCUGAGAGAUGACAGCUGAGGGAGCGAAUAGGAUUAGAUACCCUAGUAGUCUCAGCCGUAAACGAUGGAUACUAGAUGUUGCCACAAGCAGUGUCGAAGCUAACGCGUUAAGUAUCCCACCUGGGGGAGUACGUACGCCAGUAUGAAACUC